GAGGGGCAUCGGGAAGAAAGCUUGCUUUCUUUGCCGGCGACCGGCGCACGGGUGAGUAACACGUAUCCAACCUGCCCUUUACUCGGGGAUAGCCUUUCGAAAGAAAGAUUAAUACCCGAUAGCAUAAUGAUUCCGCAUGGUUUCAUUAUUAAAGGAUUCCGGUAAAGGAUGGGGAUGCGUUCCAUUAGGUUGUUGGUGAGGUAACGGCUCACCAAGCCUUCGAUGGAUAGGGGUUCUGAGAGGAAGGUCCCCCACAUUGGAACUGAGACACGGUCCAAACUCCUACGGGAGGCAGCAGUGAGGAAUAUUGGUCAAUGGGCGCUAGCCUGAACCAGCCAAGUAGCGUGAAGGAUGAAGGCUCUAUGGGUCGUAAACUUCUUUUAUAUAAGAAUAAAGUGCAGUAUGUAUACUGUUUUGUAUGUAUUAUAUGAAUAAGGAUCGGCUAACUCCGUGCCAGCAGCCGCGGUAAUACGGAGGAUCCGAGCGUUAUCCGGAUUUAUUGGGUUUAAAGGGAGCGUAGGUGGACUGGUAAGUCAGUUGUGAAAGUUUGCGGCUCAACCGUAAAAUUGCAGUUGAUACUGUCAGUCUUGAGUACAGUAGAGGUGGGCGGAAUUCGUGGUGUAGCGGUGAAAUGCUUAGAUAUCACGAAGAACUCCGAUUGCGAAGGCAGCUCA
rnacentral:rRNA from 1 species